rnacentral:rRNA from 1 species
UACAGAGGGUGCGAGCGUUAAUCGGAAUUACUGGGCGUAAAGCGUGCGUAGACGGUAGCGUAAGUCAGAUGUGAAAGCCCCCGGGCUCAACCUGGGAACUGCAUUUGAGACUGCUCUGCUCGGGUGCGGAAGAGGGAAGCGGAAUUUCCGGUGUAGCGGUGAAAUGCGUAGAUAUCGGAAGGAACACCAGUGGCGAAAGCGGCUUCCUGGUCCGACACCGACGUUCAGGCACGAAAGCGUGGGGAGCAAACGGG